ACGCAAACUCAGCAACACGGUGCCAGAAGCAUUCAUAAUCGAUCCCACGUAGAGAAAAAUACGAGUUCUUCUUCCCUUUCGAUUUCAAUAGGUCAGUUGAAAAACAUGAAUCCAGCUCAAGAAUCCCAAACCAAAUUCAUCAAUGGCGACCUGCGAAUGGUCUUCUGCGCUUAACGUCUCCACGGGGAUCUUCAUCUCUGAUGUACACGCGAAGCCGCAUCGAAGCUCAAACGCGACGGAACUUAUGGUUGAACGUGUUUGAAUGACAACAAUCUGAAGUAAAUUAACAAGCUAAACACGUACCAUAAUUUGACACGGUGGCUCGUCAGAGUUGACGUCGCAUUCACAGGUGAUCUACUGGCUGCACUUGAAGCCUUGCUACGGGUUGAAGAUUCAUGGCUGAACUUAAUUAGAUUAUGAGCUUGUGUAGGAACGUGCUUGCUUGGAUAUGUUGAAAUGACAUGGACUUAAUGCUGCUCUGUUACGAUUGUCGUAGUAUGGAUGUUAUUAUGGAGCUAUUAUGGUUUGGAAUAUGAUCAUAGGCCAUGGGAAUUUGGAUUGUAAUCUGAAAUUUAAAUAUGAAUGUUGGUUUGAAAAUGUAAAUUGGAACAAUGGUUGAAUAUUAAAAAUUUGGAAUUGAAAACAAUGUAUGGCUUGAUGUAAAUUGCAAAUUCCAUGGAAUUCUGGAUAGACUUUAUGUAUUUGGUUAUGUUGGAAAUAGCCAUGUAAUGGUAAUUUGAAUGGAUGGUUUGUAAUGGGAUGUAUUUGUACAUGGUUACAAUGUAAUUUUGGAUUGAAAUAUUGUAUGGUUUAAAAGAAAAUGUGAAUUGGUGUAGGUUUGAUCAAGUGAAUGCCAAGUCCAUGUUUAUGGUUUAAAAAUGUUUAUCCUUUCGAAGAUGACUUUGUAAUUCAUGGCCAUGUUGUAAUGGGAAUGGUAUAUUUGAGUUUA